rnacentral:rRNA from 1 species
AGAGUUUGAUCCUGGCUCAGGAUGAACGCUGGCGGCGUGCCUAACACAUGCAAGUCGAACGAAGCUUGACGGAUGAUUUCUUCGGAAUGAAACCAGAUAUGACUUAGUGGCGGACGGGUGAGUAACACGUGAGCAACCUGCCUUUCAGAGGGGGAUAACGGCUGGAAACGGUCGCUAAUACCGCAUGACGUGUUCGGAUGGCAUCAUCUGAACAUCAAAGAUUUAUCGCUGAAAGAUGGGCUCGCGUCUGAUUAGAUAGUUGGUGGGGUAACGGCCUACCAAGUCGACGAUCAGUAGCCGGACUGAGAGGUUGAACGGCCACAUUGGGACUGAGAUACGGCCCAGACUCCUACGGGAGGCAGCAGUGGGGAAUAUUGCACAAUGGGGGAAACCCUGAUGCAGCAACGCCGCGUGAAGGAUGACGGUUUUCGGAUUGUAAACUUCUUUUCUUAGUGACGAAGACAGUGACGGUAGCUAAGGAAUAAGCAUCGGCUAACUACGUGCCAGCAGCCGCGGUAAUACGUAGGAUGCAAGCGUUAUCCGGAUUUACUGGGUGUAAAGGGAGCGCAGGCGGGACUGCAAGUUGGAUGUGAAAUACCGUGGCUUAACCACGGAACUGCAUCCAAAACUGUAGUUCUUGAGUGAAGUAGAGGCAAGCGGAAUUCCGAGUGUAGCGGUGAAAUGCGUAGAUAUUCGGAGGAACACCAGUGGCGAAGGCGGCUUGCUGGGCUUUAACUGACGCUGAGGCUCGAAAGUGUGGGGAGCAAACAGGAUUAGAUACCCUGGUAGUCCACACCGUAAACGAUGAUUACUAGGU